AGCUCCAAUAGCGUAUAUUAAAGUUGCUGCAGUUAAAAAGCUCGUAGUUGCAUUUCCGAGGCAAGGGAUUAGUCCGACCUUUGGUGGGAAUUUAAUCCUCUUGCCUCGUCCUUGAGUGGUGCUUCUUGGUAUUAAGUUAUCGAGGAGAUAGCCGCUCAUCGUUUACUGUGAGAAAAUUAGAGUGUUCAAAGCAGGCUUAUGCCGUUGAAUAUAUUAGCAUGGAAUAAUAAGAUAGGACCGCGGUACUAUUUUGUUGGUUUGAGAACCAAGGUAAUGAUGAAUAGGGACAGUUGGGGGUAUUCGUAUUCAGUUGUCAGAGGUGAAAUUCUUAGAUUUACGGAAGACGAACUACUGCGAAAGCAUUUACCAAGGAUGUUUUCA
rnacentral:rRNA from 1 species